UACAGAGGGGGCAAGCGUUAUUCGGAAUUAUUGGGCGUAAAGGGCGCGUAGGCGGCUUGGCAAGUGGAUGGUGAAAUCCCUCGGCUUAACCGAGGAACUGCCGUCCAAACUGCUUCGCUUGAGACCGGGAGAGGUGAGUGGAAUUCCAGGUGUAGCGGUGAAAUGCGUAGAUAUCUGGAGGAACACCGGUGGCGAAGGCGGCAUCCUGGACCGGUAUUGACGCUGAGGCGCGAAAGCUAGGGGAGCAAACGGG
rnacentral:rRNA from 1 species